GUGUUCAAAGAAAGGAGAGAUGUCAAGAUAGUUGGCUCUCCCCUGACAGGGACGGGGGCAGCCUCCGGGCUUAUGUGUUAACAAAACAUACAGUUAGUCUAUAAUAAGUCAAGUUUUUCU